GGAGGCAAGAAGAAGUGAGGAAAACCCUACAGAGUUUGCUGUAAUUCUGGACUGCAAAUCCCAUAUACCUCAGGGGCAGCAGGAAGAGGAAGUGAACACACAGCCAGAGAGUUGUGCUCUAGCACCUCCUGGCUUCUGACCCAAGCCACCAUAGGCAUGUGGCUGCAUUUCCUGAAACAAAGGAACAAUAAUACAUCUCCACACAAAAUCUGCAUACAGAAUAUAUCAACAAAAGGAUAUUUCUGAAAACGUUGAGUAUGAAAAAAGCAUGUUAUAAUGGGAACCUUUGCAACCUUAACAAUACAAAUCUGUAAAUCAAAACCAGCCUGUCAGAUGUAUUCCAAACUGUCCUCAAGAAAUUAUCUUUUGGCUUAAAUUCAAACAAGUGAAAUUCAGGACAAAAGGAAGAUAUUUGAGAAGGUUGGAUAGAAAACGGAAGAUUUGAACAGAACCAUCUUUCAAUAAAAUCUAUGAAGGCAUUCUUGUAACACCAUAAUUUGAUCACCUACCCAUCUAUCUUUGGAAUAAUCUUAACAAAUUGAAUGAAUAAUUAGUGUCAAUGAAUCACAAAUACCCUUAAGUAGGAAUUCUUACUCAGUUCUAAAUAUAUUACCAAUCAUGACACAUGACAGAUGUGUAUUACUGUUAAGUUUGCUCAAAUGAGAUCCAACACUUACUAAUCAUUAAGCUGUAACACUUAGUCACUCAAGUCCUGCCUUCCAGUCAAGAUUGAAGUACAUUUACAGGAUGCUGGGAAGAAGCCUGUGCUCAUCACUACCAUUGUACUCAAUACAGGAAUAAAACAAGACUUAUGCCCAGUGCCUUAGUCUUCAAGACACUAUAUUCUUGACUUGAAUCUGAAAAAAAUGCAAAGCUACCUUUCAAAGGGGUGCAUGGCAUCAUCCAAAAGGAGAGUUCCUAACACUAAACUCACUCCAAUGGAAUUCUGUUAUAUUCUGUACAUGGAACCAGUGUAGAAAUCACAGCAUUAUCUUAGUUUUAAAUCUGAAAUGACAAUUUUAUAAAGAAAUAAAAAUAUAAUUGAUAUUCAAGCUUAUUUACCUGAGAC